GUACAACCUCACCAGAGUACCAAUUGGAGGGCAAGUCUGGUGCCAGCAGCCGCGGUAAUUCCAGCUCCAAUAGCGUAUAUUAAACUUGUUGCAGUUAAAAAGCUCGUAGUUGUAUUUCAGCCUCGCGUUUUUUCCCUCUUUUCGGGUCUUUUCGCUGGCUUUGUUUUUACUUUGAGAAAAUUAGAGUGUUUCAAGCAGACUUUUGUCUUGAAUACUUCAGCAUGGAAUAAUAGAGUAGGACCUUGGUUCUAUUUUGUUGGUUUCGAGCCUUGGUAAUGGUUAAUAGGAACGGUUGGGGGCAUUCGUAUUUAACUGUCAGAGGUGAAAUUCUUAGAUUUGUUAAAGACGAACCACUGCGAAAGCAUUUGCCAAGGACGUUUUCAUUAAUCAAGAACGAAAGUUAGGGG
rnacentral:rRNA from 1 species